ensembl:lncRNA
CCGCCUGUGCUUGCUGCUGGAUGGAACCUGGGGCUCCUGGCCUCUGCUCCGGCCAGCUUCCUUCUGGUGUCGAAGCUGUGUGAAGGGAAGGGCUGCUAGAGCACUCACCACUGGGUCCCGGGCCCCUCCCAGCGCGGUGCCACCACACACAGCCGUGCCGCGGCCUUCCGUGUCAUGCCCCCACCUGUGAGGAGCCCAGCCUGGCCCCAGGGCCUUCCCACACACAGGGACAUCUUGAGUCUGACGCCUCCCUACCUACUCCUCAGCACGCCCAGGACCGGCCCUCCCUCUGCCGCCCUGGUACAGUCAGGCGGCCACUGGCUGCCACCUCCUCAGCCCAGCCAGGAGACUCACAGCGGUGCCCCCAGAAAUGGCACUGCCCCUGCCUCUUCUAGUAAGCUGCUGCGAACACAUGUCCCCAGGAGGGUUCUCCCAUGCCCAGGCGGGCUCCAGUGACACCUGGGCCACCUCACCAGGCACCGAGGCUCCAACCCGGCCAGGCCAGCUGGAGCCUGCACUGCACCCCCCAGGAAUGGGCCUGCAUGGGGGCGUCAGGUGAGAAGCCCAGCUGGGUCCAGGUGGACACAGGUAGCAACCAUCGACAGAAAGCUCUGUGCCCAGGGCCUCCUGCCUUGGCUGCCCAGCGGGGCCCCUCCACCAGGCUGGGCCCUGGAGGCAGAAGCUGUUGGGCACGAGGGUCCUCCCUCCCUCCCGAGACUCACGUCCUCCUGCUUCUGAGCCAGUUCCUCCAACAGGCUCAGCACCUCUUCAUCUGCCAGGUCACAGGGCCGCUGCCCCUGGGGGGAGGGAGGGAGUAACAGAGGGGCACGGGUUCUGCUCCCCCUCCCCAGCACCCGGGCCCGGCCCUACCGCGUGGGUCAGCGAGUCCAUGCCCCCGCCAUGCUCGGCCAGCAGGCGACACGCGUCCUCCACACCCCAGUGGGCUGCCGCGUGCAGGGGGGUCCAGCCAUCCCCAUCUCGGAGCUCCGGGUCAUAGCCGGCCUGCAGCAGGAGCCUGGGGGCCAGGGAGGUGGGUCAGGGCCGAAGCAGGGUCGAAGCUGGUUCCCACAGCACCAACCUUACACAGGCAAAUGCUCCUGGCCAACGGUCAAGGGCCCCAAACCAGGGCUCUCCCCAGGGACCCUGCGGCCCGCCAGCCUCCAACCCUCCAGGGACCAGCAGGCAGCAGCCAGUCAACCCUGGCCUGGGGUGGCUAUAGGAACUGGGUCCUCCUUCCCACAGGGCCCCAGGAGCCUGUGGGGGAGUGGCUGUAAGGACGCUGUCCUCCUGUCCUGCACCCCCUCCCCCCGGCUCCAGGCCUAGGAAGACAAUGAGACCCCAAGGUGCAGGCUCCAGGCUGCAGCCUGUGGGGACCCUGCUGGCUCCUGGAGGUGGCUCUCAGGAGUGUGGCACUGCCCCCCCCCCAGGACACAGGGGACCUCUCUGGCUGUUCUAACUUGGGGUGGCAGCCAGUGGCAUCUAGUGACUGGGGGCAGGGACAAGGGUCAACAACCCACAGGCCCUCCAACCUCAGAAAGACCUGAGCCCAAAUGUCCACAAUGCUCAGGCUGAGAAGCCUGGCCCAGCCAGUGCUCCCAGGAAACAGUAGUCGGCACUCAGCCUGGGCAGAGGCAGGCUUACAGGUCCACUGAACUGACAGCCCUGGUGGCACAGACCUUCGAUCCCAACACUCCCAGAGGCUGAGGCAGAAGGGUCGCAAGUUUGAGCCCAGCCUUGGCAACUUAGCAAAUGAGACCCUAUCUCAAACAGAAAAAAGAAGUCCAGGGAACUUUCCAAACCCAGCAGGCUGGCCGGGGAUUUAGCUCACUGGUUCUGACGCCUGCCUUGAAAGUGGAAGGUCCUGAGUUCGAUCCCUGGUUCCAAAAACAAACAAACGAACAAACAACAAAAAAACCCCAAACCCACCAUGGGAAGAUGCGGCUGUUCUUGGGGAGCAGGGUGCGUACAGAGUGACAGCUGUCACAUGGGGACCUCAGCCGCUCCGCUCCAGCCAUGUGGGGAUUCUGAGCUUCCCGAUGCAACCCUCAGUCACCACCCGCAGUCCCUCCCCACCUCUCACCUUCUCCAUGACCCUGCUCAGCUCCAUAAGCAGUGACAAAACCACAGAGAACGGGGAUUCACUUUUCCCGUGCUGAGAUCACACCCAGAGCCUCACACAUGCCGGGUGCGUGUGCUACCACUAAGCCUGAGCCUCCUGGCCAUUCUACACUCAAAGCUUCAGUUCUGUGACAGAUCGAGGCUGCUCGCAAACAUCAACUCUCUCAGGCUGAGGGCACAGCUCAGGGGUAGACUGCUCGCCUCGCAGGCAUGAAGCCCUGAGUUCAAUCCUCAGCACCACACACACACGUCAACUCUCUAUUAACCACACGUAAUUUUUAGGUGGACACAUGGUCAUGGUCACUCAGCCAAUGAGGAAUCUCCAGCAUCCCUCAUAGGUGAUGAGGGCCUGGUAAAUGGGACACCUGAAUGAAGUGGGACACGCCCCUUGGCACUGCUGUCUUCUUAGGGUCAGACAAGCUGGGCGUGGGGGUGUAUUCCUGUAACCCCAGCUACCUGGGAGGCUGAGGCAAGAGGAUGAAAAGUCCUAAGCCAGCCUGGGCACCUUAGUGAGACCCGUGUCAAAGCAGAAUGUUAAAAGGGCUGGGGUGCAGUUCAGCAAGAGAGCGCUGGCUUAGCAGGCACGAGGCCCUAGGUUCAACUUCUAGCACUGCAAAAGAAAAAAGGACAGACAUUUGCCCCUUCUCCUCCCCACUUCCUGCUGGCGGGGAUCAGACGUGCACACGGGCAGGAGUACAGGUGGAGGCGCCUGACACCACUGGAAAGGGGAGAACAGCUGAUGAGGGACAAAGGAAGACCCCAGAUGGUGGGAGGAUGACAGAAGAGGAACGCGCACUGUGGUAUUUAAAGUACAUAUGUCCCAGACAGCCCAGACUUCAAAUGUGUAAAAAACCAGCAGGUGAAAUAGGCCGAGUCUACCACCACAGUGAGAAGCGAACAGGAGCAGCCAGGCAGGUGCUGCCAGGAUCCGGAAGGUCUGGACGGCGGGGAGGACACUGCCCGACACCGGCCCUUCCCAGCACAGGUGCUCGGGGCAGACUGAGCAAGAGCAAACCAUGCGGGCCCUGUUGUCUGAUCCAACUGCAAUUAAGCCGGAGAAUCGGUAAUGAAGUAACUGGGAGUCAGGGACACACUGCUAAACAAUCCACAGGCCACAGAAGAGGCUCAUGGAGCUGGCCACGGUCCUGCACACCUGUUAAUCCCAGCACUCAGGAGGCUGAGGCAGGACGAUCAAAAAUUCAAGCCCCCGGGGCUGGGGGAUUUAGCUCAGUGGUUUCGCCACCUACUGUGCAGGCACAAGGACCAAGCUGGGAGUUCCAUCCCCAGUACCAAAAACAAAAAAAAAAUUCAAUCCCAGCCAGAGCAACUUAGUGAGAUCUUAUCUCAAAAUAAACAAUAAAAGCCAGGCGUGGUGGAGCACGCCUGUAAUCCCAGCACUCAGGAGGCUAAAUCAGGAGGAUCACUACAGUUCCAUGCCAGCCUGGACUACACAGUGAGUUCAAUGCUAGUUGGAAAUACAUAGCAGACUCUCUCUCAAAAAAAGCAAAAAACAAACAAACAGGGCUGGGGAUGAGCUCAGUGUGAAGGUCCUAGGUUCAAUUCCCAGCACUGGAAACAAAAGAAAGACAGACCAUCAGUUAGAGAAUGUUUUACACUGAACCGCAACGAAGGAGACCACACAAGGAAGCGGCAGCCCGGCUGUGCUUGCAGGGAGCGACAGCCUCAGGUGCAGAGCCUGCAAAGGAAAGGCCAAGACGCGCAAACAGGAUGGGGCGCUCACCUCAUCACCUCGAUGUAGCCCUUGGCGGCGGCCACGUGCAGGGCAGAGGCCCCCGUGCGUGGGUGCCGGGCCUCGGGCAUGGCGCCCCCAUUCAGCCAGCACCGCGUGUCAUGAAGCAGCAGCUCCUCCUCCGCCCGCUUGGCUGCCUGCACAUCCACACCUGGGGGAGGAGAACAGAUGAGGCGGGCUCGCCCCUGGGUGGGUACAGGGCUGCACCCCAGCCGCAGCUCAGCCUGGGCCCCUGCCUGGGCUCAGGAGCCUGGAGCGCCCAGGUGCCCAGAUGUGCUGUGCAGUCCCAGCCACGGAGCUUCUCAAGGUCACCGCUACCGGCCAGGAGGGCAGAGAUGGGGUCUUCCCCAUCCCGAUCAGGAAGCCUAAGCUCACGAAGCACACCCUGCAUCUGGUGACCACUCACCUGACCCGUCCCUACCGACACAGUCCGCCCGGCACCCUCACAGGGUCACAACCGCCACCCGAUCCCCUAGCGCAGGCCAGGCCCGGCACUCACUCACAGCGUCCCUGCGUCUCCACAGCAACCUCCAACCUCGCAAAGGGCCUCACAAAGGACCUCACAAAGGACCCCCGGGCCAGGCAAGUGAUAGCUGAAAGGUCAGCUCAGGACCCUCACCCAAGCGGGCGGCCUGGUGGGCUGGCAUCCUAGUCACUCUGCAGGGCCCUCGAGGACGUUCCUUCCCAUGUGCCUAACUGAGGCAGGGCAACGAGCUCUCUCCUGGUGAAGCCCUGAGCACCUGAAAUGCAGCUGAGCCCAAGGGAGACCCGCCCUGACCUCGAGGUGCAGGCUGGAUCUCGAAGCUCAGGAAAAGGAGUUAAAGUCAUGUGAACAGCUGUACAUGUUAAAAACCAAGUGUGGCAGAACCGACAGGAGCCCCUCGGCUGCCUCACUGAAGGCAGCCACCAUCUCCGGCCCGCCGUUGCAUGCUUACUACACAGCCAGAAAACCAUGAAUGCAACCCAAGAAACGCAACCCUUAACUCGGGGGCAGGCAGCCCGCAACACCCUGCCACAGCAGGUCCUCCCGGCUGGGGCUGCGGCUUGGCGCCCCCUGGUGGCAGGCGGCACUCAGGCCACAUCCCUAAAGCAAGACACCACAGGGCAGAUCCAGGCCAAACUUCUCCCGGAGGACAGGAGCUAGGCUGGUCUUCCGUUUAGACGGCUCGGCUCGGGCUCGCUCGGCUAGGGUCACAGCAGGGACCACCCUUACUCUUGGCUGUAGCUGGUAAAAUGCUGUGAACACACCAACGCCUUGCCCUGAGGUGCGUGACUCGUGGCACUCAGGAUGCUGUCUCACUGCCGGGCAUCUGUCACCCCAGAUGAAAUGCCCAUUGGGUGCUGCUGCCCACACUGUCCUCCUGGCCCAGCAGCACCAUCCACUUCCGGUCUCUGGGAUCUGCCUGUGCCCGUUCCUGCCCCUGGCCAUCUUCGGACGGCAGUGGUCCUGCAGGGACGCCGCACCCCACCCUGCCUGAGCAG